GCCUGGGUGGCUCAGUCGGUUAAGCGUCUGACUUCAGCUCAGGUCACUAUCUUGCCCUCUGUGAGUUCGAGCCCCACGUCAGGCU
rnacentral:tRNA from 1 species